GGAGGGAUGGCCGAGUGGUUGAAGGCGCCGGUCUUGAAAACCGGUGUGGGUGCAAGCUCACCGGGGGUUCGAAUCCCUCUCCCUCCGCCA
rnacentral:tRNA from 1 species